rnacentral:lncRNA from 1 species
AAAGCACCCUAGAGAGAUGCAACACAGCAGAAAUGGAACCGCUGCGAUUGCAAAAGUUGAUCACCCAUUGCAGAGCACAUCUAACAUAGCAGCAAACAUAUCUUUUGGAAACAGCCCAAUGAUCCCUCUGCCAAAUCCAGGCUUUGAGUGUUUGCCCAAGUAAGAAAGAAGCAGAUCCAGGAAGAAAACAGAAUCUUUGCUGACCUGGGCAGGAGGCAGCUGAGCUGAACGGCACUGGGUAACAUCCAGUCCAGCCUAGCUCCCUCAAAAGAUGCAGUGUAAUUGGGAACUCUGACACCUUGUUGAAACGUGAGGACAGCUGGACACAAAGAAAACUUUUUCUAGGCUUGAUGGUGAGCACUGUGUGUCCAGACAGGCUUUGGAGAAAAUCGUAACAAAUGCCAGUUCUAAAGAGGAUCUCUUACCUUUCAAGGCUGGUGUUAGGUUUCAAAAUCAGAUUUAUUUCAAUACUUGAUUUUUUGAAGAACAGAUCCUCUGUUGCUCCCUUGCUACCUUUCCAAACAGGACUUCAUUUGCAGGUUUGGAGUGAGGCAUGUAGAUGGAAAGAAGAGAUAAUGAACUUCUCAUUUUAAAGGGGGAAGGAAAAUCAGCUACAUGUAAUCUUGGGUUUAAACAUGUCUGGCAGAAUCCCAGCCUGGAACUGCAAGCCUCCUGUGUGCUCCAUGAGCCCAGGGAGGGCACCUGGUCCACACCAGGAUGCUGAUAUUCAUUUAUCUGUUUACAUGGAUGUCUAUUUCUAUUUUCUUUUGAAUUGCAUACAGUUGAAUUUCAGGCUUUCCAGGAUUCAUAUAGAAAACUUAAUUUAGCUGCAAGUAACAAAACAAGAAACUAGAAAUUCUUCAAAAUAGUCCUGUGACUAUCCUACUGGAAGGACAUUGAAGGUGUAAUAUGAAUAAAGAAACAAUCAUAAGAAAGAUCUCUCUCUCA